AAAGUCCUUUAGACACA
rnacentral:tRNA from 1 species